UUAGUGGAACGACAAAAGUGGAUGCGUUUCAGUCCAAGUUCCAUUAUUUAAGAGAACGAGAUUGCUUCAAAGAGAUAGGGUUCUCAUUGUGGUAUUGAGUUAGUUUAACUUCUGGUCUUUACUUUUUCCUUUUUAUCUAUUUGGAGAAGAUGGAUUUCAACUUGGAACAAACAUAGAAGAGAUCUUGCAUGAGAAAGAUGUGUUUUUAAGUGGACUUGGAUUGACCAAUGAUUGAUCUUGCAACAAGUCAAGAUGUGUGAAGAUGCUAUUGAAAUUCGACCACAUGUGAAGAUUUUUCGACAUGUUAAGAUAGAUGUCAUUGAUGUUGUAAUGUAUAUCUGCUUGCCUCAUAUUUUUGUUAUUAUGGAGAACGAAAUGAAGUUAUGAAUGUAGCCAAACUUUGAAGUUGUAAAGUGUUUUUUUUUAGGUCAAGUGUAGAUGUAUUUUUUUCGGUGAAUGUAUCUGAACUUUGGAAGUUGUAAAGUACUUUACUUUCAUCGAAUGUACUCCCUCCGUCCCAAAUUGUAUGUCGCUUUAGGGAAAAAAAUUGUUCCAAAUUA